rnacentral:misc_RNA from 1 species
GGACUUGGAUGUUGCCGUGUUCAACGGCUCGUCUUAAAUGCCUGAGUGUACCCUGUUUUGCAGCGUAUCAAUGUGAUAAACAUCUUCAUUGUUAAGUCUUUCGGGACACGCUUGUGUUGCAGGCUCUAUGCUUCCAAUCGUCUUUGGACAAUCUCUGACAAUUUGACCUCAAAUCGGGUGGGACUACCCGCUGAACUUAA